UAGGGAAUCUUCCGCAAUGGACGAAAGUCUGACGGAGCAACGCCGCGUGAGUGAAGAAGGAUUUCGGUUCGUAAAACUCUGUUGUUAGGGAAGAAAAAAUGUAUAGUAACUAUAUACAAAAGAGACGGUACCUAACCAGAAAGCCACGGCUAACUACGUGCCAGCAGCCGCGGUAAUACGUAGGUGGCAAGCGUUGUCCGGAAUUAUUGGGCGUAAAGCGCGCGCAGGUGGUUUAGAAAGUCUGAUGUGAAAGCCCACGGCUCAACCGUGGAGGGUCAUUGGAAACUAAUAAACUUGAGUGCAGGAGAGGAAAGUGGAAUUCCUAGUGUAGCGGUGAAAUGCGUAGAGAUUAGGAGGAACACCGGUGGCGAAAGCGGCUUUUUGGCCUGCAACUGACACUGAGGCGCGAAAGCGUGGAGAGCAAACAGG
rnacentral:rRNA from 1 species